GAUGAACGCUGGCGGCGUGCUUAACACAUGCAAGUCGAACGGAAAGGCUCCUGCUUGCAGGGGUACUCGAGUGGCGAACGGGUGAGUAACACGUGGGUGAUCUGCCCUUCACUUCGGGAUAAGCCUGGGAAACUGGGUCUAAUACCGGAUAGGACCACAUUUUGGAUGGUGUGGUGGAAAGAUUUUCGGUGUGGGAUGAGCUCUCGGCCUAUCAGCUUGUUGGUGGGGUGAUGGCCUACAAAGGCGUCGACGGGUAGCCGGCCUGAGAGGGUGUACGGCCACAUUGGGACUGAGAUACGGCCCAGACUCCUACGGGAGGCAGAAGUGGGGAAUAUUGCACAAUGGGCGCAAGACUGAUGCAGAGAAGCGGCGUGGGGGAUGACGGCCUUCGGGUUGUAAAAUCCUUUCGCUAGGGACGAAGCGUUUUUGUGACGGUACCUGGAGAAGAAGCACCGGCUAACUACGUG
rnacentral:rRNA from 1 species